AAACCACUAUUUUGUGAUUGCAGCCUCCAUUGGAUGCUCCUUGUGAUAUGUGUUCCAAGCCACACAAUUUAUCAAUUUGAUUCUUGUCGUCGAGAUCCAUUACGAUCCGUGUUGGUCAAGUCACUAUUGAAUAAAGUGUUGAUGAAAAUGAAUGUCAAAAAAAAGCGCACUUCCUCAAUGGAAAUCAGUUAAGUGCGCCCAACAAGAGGGUGGGGUCGAGUGUGGCUAUUACGUGAUGAAAUUCAUGCAUGACAUAUUCAAAAGUUGCAAGGAAGUUCAAGAUCUGGAAAAGUUUUCACAACUCCAAGGGAGGGGCCCUUCACCAAAGAGGAGUUGGAUGAAGUUCGAGACAAGUGGGCUACUUACUUCAACGAUUGUGAAUUACCCUCAGUGUAAUAAUUAGAGCAGGCUUGUAGUUAUUCGUGACUCUUACAUUAUUUUGUUAUUUAUCGAUUUAAUUAAUUACAUUUGAAUUAAUUCGGAAAUAUUAUUGGAAAUUUGAAAUUUAUAUCAUUUUUGAGGAAUGUCAAGAUGAUGUUUGGUGAAA